rnacentral:rRNA from 1 species
GACGAACGCUGGCGGCGUGCCUAACACAUGCAAGUCGAACGGAAAACAGAGCAAUAUGGUUUCAGUGGUGAACGGGGGAGUAACGCGUAGACAACCAACCUUUUUUUGGGGGACAAGACGUCGAAAGGCGUGCUAAUACCGCAAGCGCUCCAGAUGCCGGCUGGCGUAUGGAGGAAGGGAGCUUCACGGCUUCGCAGAGAGAGGGGUCUGCGUCGGAUUAGCUAGUGGGGGGGGUAACGGCCCACCAAGGCGACGAUCAGUAGCCGGUCUGAGAGGAUGGCCGGCCACACUGGGACUGAGACACGGCCCAGACUCCUACGGGAGGCAGCAGUGGGGAAUCUUCCGCAAUGGACGAAAGUCUGACGGAGCGAUGCCGCGUGAAUGAUGAAGGCCCUUGGGUCGUAAAGCUCUGUCAUCAGGGACGAACGGUCACGUCAGAAAAUGGGCGUGAAUUGACGGUACCUGAGAAGGAAGCCACGGCUAACUACGUGCCAGCAGCCGCGGUA